rnacentral:misc_RNA from 1 species
GUGAAUCAUCGAAUUUUUGAACGCAAAUUGCGCUUCCUGGCAUAAUGGGAAGUAUGGAUGUUUGAGGGUCAGUAUUAAUAAAAAAUAGGUUUAGUUAAAAAUUGUGACGUUUAUGGAGUUUGGGCUAUCUUAACAUUUUUGGUUAAGAGGUUUAAAACUGACAUUUUUUGUGCAUUUUUAAACGUAUAUAAAUUUUUUUUAUUUGUUUAUUCUUAAUGCCAAAAUUUUAUUAGAUGCGAUAAAAUCGUGUGGCUUUGUGUCCAUAACAUUUUCAUGACUUGACCUCA